GGUGAACGCUGGCGGCGUGCUUAAGACAUGCAAGUCGAACGGCAGUCUUCGGACUGUAGUGGCGCACGGGUGAGUAACGCGUAACUGACCUACCCCAAAGUCGCGGAUAACGAUUCGAAAGAAUCGCUAAUACGUGAUGUGCUGUCAGAUUGUGUUCUGCCAGUAAAGAUUGAUUGCUUUGGGAGGGGGUUGCGUUCCAUCAGCUAGUUGGUGGGGUAAAGGCCCACCAAGGCGACGACGGAUAGCCGGCCUGAGAGGGUGGCCGGCCACAGGGGCACUGAGACACGGGUCCCACUCCUUCGGGAGGCAGCAGUUAGGAAUCUUCCACAAUGGGCGAAAGCCUGAUGGAGCGACGCCGCGUGAGGGAUGAAGGUCUUCGGAUCGUAAACCUCUGAAUCAGGGACGAAAGACACUUCGGUGGGAUGACGGUACCUGAGUAAUAGCACCGGCUAACUCCGUGCCAGCCGCCGCCGUAAGAC
rnacentral:rRNA from 1 species